CGAGUUUCUGCCGCUAUCUAUUUCCAACAAGAAUUAAGAUCUUCCGCUGUUAUGUUGGGCAAGUCUACAGAAUCGGCCGCAUCGGCGGAGGCAGCUUGGAAGUGAAGUUUUCUACCUUGGAAAAAUAUGGUUGUAGUUCUGAUGUUACUGUUGUGAUAACUGAGAUCAGGCAUAGAAUUCUUGAACCUACGAGUAAAAAAGAAUUAGGUGUUCGGAAAUUCGGUUGUCCUGGGAAAAUCUAGAUCAUGGAAGUCCACGAAGUGUUGGAGAGCUGAAGUAGGGAAGAUGGCCCUGCAAGAAGAGCAGAAACUUUGGAACUCAACAUGGGGAGUCAUAAUUAAGUGAAAAAUGAGUGACGCCGUAGAACGGAAGAUGGCCUGAUGUUCUCCGCACACUGCAAUAGGUGCUGCGGACUGUAAGGCGAGCUCCAGAGUUGCAGGUGUAGCAGAGAACAGAUGAAUGGAAUGUAAUGUACAGUUGAUUAUUUAGGAGAACUUACAGAGGAUCUUCAAUGUGGGCAUCUCUGAUCUCAUCCCCAAGAGUUGACAGAGGAUCCACUGAACGGGAGCGGGAAGCAGAGCGCUUUACUCCAAAUGGCAUGACGGCGUUGUAUUCUGGAUGGAUCUCAGGAGAGAAAACUCCACUGGAUAAACUGAUAACUACUAUUAGAUCAAAUAAACUAAAUUUUAAAAGAACUUUCUUUCUUUCAUUAAAUCUAAGACAUUUUAUGUAUUCAUACUUAAUCAACGUCGCCUUGAUAUUAAUUGCCACGCGGGACUUUUAUUCGUUGAUUAUUUUACGGCUGAACUAAUCCUUGGUUCAGUGAAAAUUCAAUUGAAAAGACUUAGACUAUAAAUAGAUAGGACAUUGAAA